AGCAGCCGCGGUAAUUCCAGCUCCAAUAGCGUAUAUUAAAGUUGUUGCAGUUAAAAAGCUCGUAGUUGAACUUCAGGCUCGGUUGGGUGGUCUGCCUUACGGUAUGUACUGCCCGACUGAGCCUUACCUCCUGGUGAGCCUGCAUGCCCUUUACGGGGUGUGUAGGGGAACCAGGAAUUUUACUUUGAAAAAAU
rnacentral:rRNA from 1 species